UACGGGGGGGGCAAGCGUUGUUCGGAAUUACUGGGCGUAAAGGGCUCGUAGGCGGCCAACUAAGUCAGACGUGAAAUCCCUCGGCUUAACCGGGGAACUGCGUCUGAUACUGGAUGGCUUGAGUUUGGGAGAGGGAUGCGGAAUUCCUGGUGUAGCGGUGAAAUGCGCAGAUAUCAGGAGGAACACCGGUGGCGAAGGCGGUUCUCUGGGCCUUACCUGACACUGAGGUGCGAAAGCGUGGGGAGCAAACAGG
rnacentral:rRNA from 1 species